rnacentral:rRNA from 1 species
UACGAAGGGGGGCUAGCGUUGCUCGGAAUCACUGGGCGUAAAGGGUGCGUAGGCGGCGCACCAAGUCAGGCGUGAAAAGCCCUGGGCUCAACCCCGGGAAUUGCGCUUGAGACUGGUGUGCUUGAGUACGGGAGAGGAUAGUGGAAAUUCCCAGUGUAGAGGUGAAAUUCGUAGAUAUUGGGAAAGAACACCCGGGUGGCGAAGGCGGCUAUCUGGACCGUAACUGACGCUGAGGCGCGAAAGCGUGGGGAGCAAACAGG